rnacentral:rRNA from 1 species
UCGAGAAUUUUUCUCAAUGGGGGAAACCCUGAAGGAGCGACGCCGCGUGAAGGAUGAAGGUCUUCGGAUUGUAAACUUCUGUCAUUUGAGAACAAUGUGCAUUUAUUAACUGUAGAUGCAUUGAUAGUAUCAGAAGAGGAAGAGACGGCUAACUCUGUGCCAGCAGCCGCGGUAAUACAGAGGUCUCGAGCGUUGUUCGGAUUCAUUGGGCGUAAAGGGUGCGUAGGUGGCUAGGUAAGUCGGAUGUGAAAUCCCGGGGCUCAACCCCGGAACUGCAUUCGAUACUGCCUGGCUAGAGUACUGGAGAGGAGAUUGGAAUUUACGGUGUAGCAGUGAAAUGCGUAGAUAUCGUAAGGAAGACCAGUGGCGAAGGCGGAUCUCUGGACAGUUACUGACACUGAGGCACGAAGGCCAGGGGAGCAAACG